CCUACGGGCGGCAGCAGUGGGGAAUAUUGCACAAUGGGGGAAACCCUGAUGCAGCGACGCCGCGUGAGUGAAGAAGUAUUUCGGUAUGUAAAGCUCUAUCAGCAGGGAAGAAAAUGACGGUACCUGAUUAAGAAGCCCCGGCUAACUACGUGCCAGCAGCCGCGGUAAUACGUAGGGGGCAAGCGUUAUCCGGAUUUACUGGGUGUAAAGGGGGCGUAGACGGCAGCACAAGUCUGGAGUGAAAUGCCGGGGCUUAACCCCGGAACUGCUUUGGAAACUGUGCGGCUAGAGUGCAGGAGGGGUAAGUGGAAUUCCUAGUGUAGCGGUGAAAUGCGUAGAUAUUAGGAGGAACACCAGUGGCGAAGGCGGCUUACUGGACUGUAACUGACGUUGAGGCUCGAAGGCGUGGGGAGCAAACAGGAUUAGAUACCCUUGUAGUC
rnacentral:rRNA from 1 species